rnacentral:rRNA from 1 species
UACGAAGGGUGCAAGCGUUAAUCGGAAUUACUGGGCGUAAAGCGUGCGUAGGUGGUUUGUUAAGUCUGCUGUGAAAGCCCUGGGCUCAACCUGGGAAUGGCGGUGGAUACUGACAAGCUAGAGUGCGGUAGAGGAGGGUGGAAUUCCCGGUGUAGCGGUGAAAUGCGUAGAGAUCGGGAGGAACAUCAGUGGCGAAGGCGGGUCUCUGGGCCGAUACUGACGCUGAGGAGCGAAAGCGUGGGGAGCGAACAGG